rnacentral:rRNA from 1 species
UACGAAGGGGGCUAGCGUUGCUCGGAAUUACUGGGCGUAAAGCGCACGUAGGCGGCUUUCUAAGUCGGGGGUGAAAUCCUGGAGCUCAACUCCAGAACUGCCUUCGAUACUGGAAAGCUCGAGUCCGGGAGAGGUGAGUGGAACUGCGAGUGUAGAGGUGAAAUUCGUAGAUAUCAGGAAGAACACCCGUGGCGAAGGCGGCUCUCUGGGACGGUACUGACGCUGAGACGCGAAAGCGUGGGGAGCGAACAGG